rnacentral:lncRNA from 1 species
GACCGCGUCGACGUCUUUUAUCUGUUUCUUUUUAAUUCUUCACUAUGGAAAAAAACAACAACAAAAAACGGUUUAUGUGAAGUUAUAACGCACAAUUACUCUAAUAAAAUGACAACAAUGUGAAGCAACCAUGGAACCUGUCUCAAAAGACAAAGACCAGUUGUUUUUGUGAAACGCAUCAUUUGUCAAACUGUUCUGGCAGCGAACAAAGGUUGUUCAUAUUGAAAGAAGCUGUGGAUGCAAUACUUAAACUUAGAGACAAUCAGAAUAGAAUUGCGUCAUUGUUUGCGGCAGAGGAAAUACAGUCUCUACUGUGGCACGAGUCUUGUUACUAAAGCUUCACUGGUAAAACAAUUUACUGAAAUCAGAAAAGGUGGCAACAUGCAAUGUAAGAGCCAAUGAUCAAGAUGCUGUGCCAAGUAGGCUCUCUUCUAGACUAAAAAACUCAACACGGGCAAUGAAUUGAAAAACUUAAAUGUUCCUACAGGAUACAGGUGCAAAAGGCAAACUCUCAUAAUGACCAUUUUGAAGAUGAGUGAACAGAUUUUAGAAGUAUCUCAGUAUGAUCAAAUUUUCAGUAGACGUCUUUUCGGUGUGAAUGAUCUCAUAGCUUCUGAAGGUAAAUCUCGUGGCUUAUACUACCUGAAGUUCACCAGAAUGUCAUCAAGAACAAUCUGCUCAAACAAAUCUAUAUAUUGCUUGUCCUUGAACUGAGGCAAGAGAUGGGGAAAAUGGCAUGUACUGUCAGAGAUAUAUUCGAGAUACUGUGAUUUAGCAGAGCAAGCUGGUAUUGAGUUAUCCCUGUCCUUGAUCAUUAAGAGCCCCCCUUCAAAGAGAAGCUCGAGUCAUGCACAAAUUAUGUAUUUAAUUGCAUGACUAUGUAGAACAGCCAGACACUACUUCUACCAAUCAAGUUUCAACAUGAACCACUUUUGAAACUAAUAUUUGAAGACUAGAAACCCAUACUAAUGCCUCUUUAUCAUCCUACUAAAGACGGAUUUCUAGAUAUGAUGCACUUAGCUCUUUUGCUGAUUAUGGUUCAGCUUGUGUAUAAAUGGUUUGUCUUUAAUGAAAAUUAUGUGAUAUUCUUGUGUUUUUGACAGCCUGUUUAUGCUUCUCUGUCUGAUGGUGGUCGAAUUAUUUUCGAGGAUGAGCCAGAGAUGUAGAGCGAGUGCGAAACUCAAGCCAAGAUUCUUAGCAUUGCACAAUAUUUUGUAUACAAUGUCAAUGAGGACGAGCAUUAUAUCACCAACCAUUUAGGUCUGGCGAGUACUUUUCAGCAGACCACUCGAUCCAAAAACUUGUUGCACUAGUUAAUAAUGCUGAGCACAUUAUCAGUUACGAAAAUGUAUUGCAGGUUGAUACUUCUUUUCCAGGAAGUACUUUGGAGUCCAUGGAUCUUGCAAUAGCAACAGUGACAUCUCUUAACUUUGUGAAUGGCACAUUUGUGCACUUCACAUAUAGCAGUCAAGGCCAUUAUCUUGGAUGGGGAAAACAGCUUUCUUGAAACAGGUGACACGGUGAAAGAAAGGUACAGAAUCAGCCUUGAAGCUACAGAAGUGGGUGGAAAGGCUACACUUAUAUUUCACGGAUUGGGGAUUGUCAUUGGGAAAUCACAUAUAUUCGGGUAUCUUGCAUAUGUGUUUUCAGAAUUGUUGUGCAAGGAAAAACAAUAUUCAGCCGAAUUGAUAUAGUAUUUGAUGUGACUUCAAUCAAAAAUAGAGCCAGAAAAAGCGUGUCCAGGGCUUUAGAGCAAUCAGGAGGAUGAAAGAGAAACCGAGGUGUCCUUUUGCCAUUCAGAUGGGAAAAAGUUUUGGCCACAACAAACAAAAAGAUUAUUAUUGUUGCUGACUGUUGAAGAAAGAGUGGAAUCAUCUCAUCUAGAGGUGGCAUGAGGAGUCUAACACAAGGAUUAUACUGUAUUGUGUUGUGAGUCAAACAACGAACAUUGUGGUUGCUGCACAGGAUACUGAUGUCCUAGUGCUAUUCUGGACUCACUUUCACAAAAUGUCAUAUAUCAAACUUUGGCUCAAAUCUGGAGCAGCCAUAAGAGAAAGCAUCAUUGUGUAACAGCUUCCAUUAUGAUCAGCUGUGUUGGAAUCCAUUGCAGAAUUUUGUCUCUGAUUGUAGCGACACCACCUUAUACAUUUCAGGGCACGGCAAAAAAACAAAUUUGAAUAUUUUCCCGCAACACCACGACUAUCUCAAAAACCUAGGAAAAUUUAACCUGAAAGAUGAAGCUGCAAAUAAUGUAGAACUGUUCAUCUGCGAAGUGAACAAUGCAUCAACUGUUGAUACUGUCAAUCAAUCAUGCUUCUAAAGUUCCAUGAAUCCGAGACCCUUCCAUCUACAAGUAAUGCCUUCCUUCCACAUCAAAUGCUCACAUUACCAGACAGCAGUGUGAACACAGACACGUGUAUAAUCCCAGAACUUCCAUCACUUGAAUCCAUGAGCUGUAGAUUUGCAAACACCUUGCUUUUGCCAGUUCUCAUGUCUCUACCUCCUCUCCUUAAGUCCUACGUGAUUUCCUAUGGCUUCACCAUAAGGUUCAUAAAUGUAUGAUACGAAUGCAGAAAGACUGUCUCCUCUACAAAGCAGCCUGCAAAUGUAGAGUUGUUCAUUACACAUGCAAUAAUGAUUAGAUCAUUGCACACGUAUAAAGCUAUUUAACGUUGUUCUUGAUUUGGAUAAAAUAUUUUGCAUCGUUACUUCCUGUAGAAGUAUGUGCCAAUAUAGAAUAUUUUGUUUUCAUCCAUCCAUUUAACUGUGUCUUGUGGCAAAAAGAAUUGUGCCCCUUUUUCACCUGUUUAUUCAAUAACAAAAAUGAUAGUCAUGAAAAUUUUUGCUUUAAAAAUUAUUUGUACAUUCAUUUUUUAAGGUUAAGUACCAUGCAAAUUAUACAGUACUUUGUAUUAAUAGAUUAAAACUUAGACAAAUAUAAAACUUUAUAUCCUUACAAGGUGUCAUGUUGAGGACAAAUUUCUAUUAAAGUAACAAAACGUUUUGGAAGUUAUGAAUCUUUUCCCUUUACAGCAUUUUUGUGUAAUGUGGGCGUUUGGUCUCUUUAUUGGCAGCCAUUUUUAUUCUAAUUUGUAUUCCAAGGGUUAAAAAAUAAAAACUGUAACUAGACAGAGAAAUUGAAUUAA